rnacentral:rRNA from 1 species
CCCUUAGAUGCUCUGGGCCGCACGCGCGCUACACUGGUCGAUGCAACGAGUUUCUUUCCUUGGCCGACAGGCCUGGGCAAUCUUUGAACAUCGAUCGUGAUCGGGAUAGAUUCUUGUAAUUUUUGAUCUUAAACGAGGAAUUCCUAGUAAACGCAAGUCAUCAGCUUGCAUUGAUUACGUCCCUGCCCUUUGUACACACCGCCCGUCGCACCUACCGAUUGAAUGGUCCGGUGAAUAAUUCGGACUGCAGCACUGCUUGGUCUCCAGGCUUUGCAGCGGAAAGUUUAGUGAACCUUAUCACUUAGAGGAAGGAGAANUCGUANCA